GGAAGUAUAAGUCGUAACAAGGUCUCCGUUGGUGAACCAGCGGAGGGAUCAUUACCGAGUUUACAACUCCCAAACCCCUAUGUGAACGUUACCAAACUGUUGCCUCGGCGGGAAAUUCAUGCCCCGGGCGCGUCGCAGCCCCGGACCAAGGCGCCCGCCGGAGGACCAACCAAAACUCUUUUGUAUGUCCCUCGCGGACUUUUAUAAUUCUGAACCAUCUCGGCGCCCCUAGCGGGCGUUUCGAAAAUGAAUCAAAACUUUCAACAACGGAUCUCUUGGUUCUG
rnacentral:misc_RNA from 1 species